rnacentral:rRNA from 1 species
UAACGAAUCUUCCGCAAUGCACGAAAGUGUGACGGAGCGACGCCGCGUGGAGGAGAAGUCCUUCGGGAUGUAAACUCCUGUCAGGGGAAAGAAAGUUCUGAUCUACCCCAGAGGAAGAGGCGGCUAACUCUGUGCCAGCAGCCGCGGUAAUACAGAGGCCUCGAGCGUUAGGCGGAAUCACUGGGCUUAAAGCGUGUGUAGGUGGAUGCCUAAGUACCUUGUGAAAUCCCACAGCUUAACUGUGGAAUUGCUUGGUAUACUGGGUGUCUUGAGCCACUCAGGGGCUACUGGAACAAACGGUGGAGCGGUGAAAUGCGUAGAUAUCGUUUGGAACGCCAAUGGUGAAAACAGGUAGCUGGGGGUGUGCUGACACUGAGACACGAAAGCCAGGGGAGCAAACGGGAUUAGAUACCCCCGUAGUCC